UUGAAGAAUUUGAAGACUUCAACUUGUAUACUUGAAGGAUUUGAACACUUCAACUUGCAGACUUAAAGAAUAUGAAGAUUCCAACU
rnacentral:pre_miRNA from 1 species